rnacentral:rRNA from 1 species
GCUUGUCUCAAAGAUUAAGCCAUGCAUGUCUAAGUAUAAACGACUUUAUACUGUGAAACUGCGAAUGGCUCAUUAUAUCAGUUAUAGUUUAUUUGAUGGUCCUUGCUACUUGGAUAACCGUAGUAAUUCUAGAGCUAAUACAUGCAUCAAACCCCGACUUCUGGAAGGGGUGUAUUUAUUAGAUGGAAACCAAUGCGGGGCAACCCGGAUUAUGGUGAUUCAUAAUAACUUUCAGAUCGAUCGCAAGAUCGAUGCAUCAUUCAAGUUUCUGCCCUAUCAGCUUUGGAUGGUAGGGUAUUGGCCUACCAUGGUGGUAACGGGUGACGGAGGAUUAGGGUUCGAUUCCGGAGAGGGAGCCUGAGAGAUGGCUACCACAUCCAAGGAAGGCAGCAGG